AGCAGCAGGAGGAGGCAGAGAGCACAGCAUCGUCGGGACCAGACUCGUCUCAGGCCAGUUGCAGCCUUCUCAGCCAAACGCCGACCAAGGAAAACUCACUACCAUGAGAAUUGCAGUGAUUUGCUUUUGCCUCCUAGGCAUCACCUGUGCCCUACCAGUUAAACAGGCUGAUUCUGGAAGUUCUGAGGAAAAGCAGCACUAAAGAUGUACCUACCCCUCCACAACAGAUGAAACUGUGCCAGCCAAACAACAAAUGGGCAUUGUCCCCAGAAGCUUGGACAAAAAGGCACACAGAGUUCAAUUCCAGUUGAACAGAAUAAAGGCCAAAAUAGAGCUGCCUUGGGGGUCACUGCAAUUAGACUGCUUAAUGAAGACAUUAAAAGAAGUAUUCUGUCUUUACAACAAAUACCCAGAUGCUGUGGCCACAUGGCUAAACCCUGACCCAUCUCAGAAGCAGAAUCUCCUAGCCCCACAGAAUGCUGUGUCCUCUGAAGAAACCAAUGACUUUAAACAAGAGACCCUUCCAAGUAAGUCCAAUGAAAGCCAUGACCACAUGGAUGAUGUGGAUGAUGAAGAUGAUGAUGACCAUGUGGACAGCCAGGACUCCAUUGACUCGAACGACUCUGAUGAUGUAGAUGACACUGAUGAUUCUCACCAGUCUGAUGAGUCUCACCAUUCUGAUGAAUCUGAUGAACUGGUCACUGAUUUUCCCACGGACCUG
rnacentral:sRNA from 1 species